rnacentral:rRNA from 1 species
GGGAAGUUUUUUCGUCAGGGAGGGCUCCCGCCUUUCAGCUUUUGGUNGGUAACGGCCUACCAAGGCGAUUACGGGUAGCCGGCCUGAGAGGGCGACCGGCCCCCUGGGACUGAGACACGGCCCAAACUCCUGCGGAGGCAGCAGUGGGAAUAUUGCGCAAUGGGCGAAAGCCUGACGCAGCGACGCCGCGUGGGGGAUGACGGCCUUCGGGUUGUAAACCUCUUUUACCACCAACGCAGGCUCCGGGUUCUCUCGGGGUUGACGGUAGGUGGGGAAUAAGGACCGGCUAACUACGUGCCAGCAGCCGCGGUAAUACGUAGGGUCCGAGCGUUGUCCGGAAUUAUUGGGCGUAAAGAGCUCGUAGGCGGCGUGUCGCGUCUGCUGUGAAAGACCGGGGCUUAACUCCGGUUCUGCAGUGGAUACGGGCAUGCUAGAGGUAGGUAGGGGAGACUGGAAUUCCUGGUGUAGCGGUGAAAUGCGCAGAUAUCAGGAGGAACACCGGUGGCGAAGGCGGGUCUCUGGGCCUUACCUGACGCUGAGGAGCGAAAGCAUGGGGAGCGAACAGGAUUAGAUACCCUGGUAGUCCAUGCCGUAAACGUUGGGCGCUAGGUGUGGGGACUUUCCACGGUUUCCGCGCCGUAGCUAACGCAUUAAGCGCCCCGCCUGGGGAGUACGGCCGCAAGGCUAAAACUCAAAGGAAUUGACGGGGGCCCGCACAAGCGGCGGAGCAUGUUGCUUAAUUCGACGCAACGCGAAGAACCUUACCAAGGUUUGACAUCACCCGUGGACCUGUAGAGAUACAGGGUCAUUUAGUUGGUGGGUGACAGGUGGUGCAUGGCUGUCGUCAGCUCGUGUCGUGAGAUGUUGGGUUAAGUCCCGCAACGAGCGCAACCCUUGUUCCAUGUUGCCAGCACGUAAUGGUGGGGACUCAUGGGAGACUGCCGGGGUCAACUCGGAGGAAGGUGGGGACGACGUCAAGUCAUCAUGCCCCUUAUGUCUUGGGCUGCAAACAUGCUACAAUGGCCGGUACAAUGGGCGUGCGAUACCGUAAGGUGGAGCGAAUCCCUUAAAGCCGGUCUCAGUUCGGAUUGGGGUCUGCAACUCGACCCCAUGAAGGUGGAGUCGCUAGUAAUCGCGGAUCAGC